rnacentral:lncRNA from 1 species
AGCAUGUCUCCAACAUGGAGCCUUCAGCAUGUCUCCAACAUGGAGCCUUCAGCAUGUCUCCAACAUGAAGCCUUCAGCCUUCAGCAUGUCUCCAACAUGGAGCCUUCAGCAUGUCUCCAACAUGGAGCCUUCAGCAUGUCUCCAACAUGGAGCCUUCAGCCUUCAGCAGGUCUCCAACAUGGAGCCUUCAGCAGGUCUCCAACAUGGAGCCUUCAGCCUUCAGCAUGUCUCCAACAUGGAGCCUUCAGACUGGUCCUCCAGCCUUCAGCAGGUCUCCAACAUGGAGCCUUCAGACUGGUCCUCCAGCCUUCAGCAGGUCUCCAACAUGGAGCCUUCAGACUGGUCCUCCAGCCUUCAGCAGGUCUCCAACAUGGAGCCUUCAGACCACUGCAUUUCUCCAACAGGGCGCCUUCAGUCUGGUCCUCCAGCCUUCAGCAUGUCUCCAUCAUGAAGCCUUCAGCCUUCAGCAUGUCUCCAACAUGGAGCCUUCAGCAUGUCUCCAACAUGGAGCCUUCAGCAUGUCUCCAACAUGAAGCCUUUAGUCUGAAGAACAAAAGCCUUCUGACCAUGUGUCUACAGAACCAUGUGAUAUUGUUGAUAUUGUACCAGAGGCUACUAAACUAACAUCUGGAAUGAUUUUAAGAUGGUCAUACCAUGGAUCAUGUCGCUAUUUGACUUGGAAUUUUUGGAUCCCUUUUGGUAUUAACCAUGUUUAUUUAGUCCAGAGAAACACAUUUAAUAACACAUUCAUAAAUGGCAAAAAAAGACAGUCAAAAAAUAAAUCACAGGGAAUAAGCUUUUGAAGAGUCUAUUUUUUUUUACACAUACUUAAACCAUUAUUUUUGGUGGCAGAAACGUACCUCCAUACAUCAAUGUGUUUGUGUGUGUUACUUUCAGAUGAGUCCUGUGUCACGUGUGGUGGUCGUAGAGCAGAACAGAGAGCAUCACGGUGUUCAUGAGACUCUUCCCUUUCCACAGAGUGGUCACUCCAUAGGCCAAACCGAUGUUUCAUGUCUCAUGGUCUAACAAACAGCGCUGUAGCUCGGCCACCUUCCACCGCAGAUACGGAAGGCCGACACACACAGAUAUCUCUAGCUUAAACUGAUCGAUGAUUAUUAUUAUAUUACUUAGAUUGAGGCAAGGGUGCGUCAACAGACAUAAGGAUUAUGAAGAUAUUUCCUCCAGACAUAACAAAUCAGCAGUCAGUCACAUACCUGUGUCAACACAACAUAGUAAAAGCAAAACCCUCAACACAAAAACUACUACUACAGUCAUCUUUAGUAGUAUUAGACCAACAGUCACUUCACCACACCAGGACUGUUACAACCAGGACAUGAGUUAAUCACGCGGAUAGAUUAUAAAUGAUCAAACAGCAGAGGAGAGGAGCAGUAGAGAGAUGCCACAGUCUUCCUCUCCUCCUCAUCCUCCUGUUCUUACCCUAUGGUGCUGUGCUGGAUUCUCUUGUGGGCAGCAUAUGACAGCUGACUAAAAGAGGAGCGAGAGCUGUGAUGGCUGAUGCUCUCACGCUGCUGCUUCUUGUCACUGUGGUGGUGGUGGUGUUGUUUCACAUGGAACGAUGCAGACAUCCUGACUGGCUGAUAAGUUCAGACUCCAGGCUCCCCGCCACACGCUACGUUCAAUCAGAACAGGAUUUGUAUCUAUUCAGUUUAAAAUACGUCUGUAAAACAAUCUGAUUAUGGUUAUGUUGGGGUUAUGUUAUAGUUGGUUUAGUUCAAGCUUGCAGUUAAAUAUGUCAAUUUAUGAUUAAAUGGUUUUAAUUGAUAUUAUUAUUAUUAUUAGACUAAAUAGAACAGUUGUACAGUGGGGGGAAAAAAGUAUUUGAUCCCCUGCUGAUUUUGUACGUUUGCCCACUGACAAAGAAAUGAUCAG